rnacentral:tRNA from 1 species
GGUUGUGGCUCGGUGGUAGGGUGCUUGCCUCACAUGCUUGGGGCCCUGGGUUCGAUCCUCAGCACCA